UACAGAGGGGGCAAGCGUUAUUCGGAAUUAUUGGGCGUAAAGGGCGCGUAGGCGGCUUUGCAAGUGACGGGUGAAAUCCCUCGGCUUAACCGAGGAACUGCCUGUCAAACUGCAUGGCUUGAGACCGGGAGAGGUGAGUGGAAUUCCCAGUGUAGCGGUGAAAUGCGUAGAUAUUGGGAGGAACACCAGUGGCGAAGGCGGCUCACUGGACCGGUACUGACGCUGAUGCGCGAAAGCGUGGGGAGCAAACGGG
rnacentral:rRNA from 1 species